rnacentral:rRNA from 1 species
UAAGUGAAGAGUUUGAUCCUGGCUCAGAGUGAACGCUGGCGGCAGGCCUAAUACAUGCAAGUCGAACGGCAGCACAGCAGAGCUUGCUCUGUGGGUGGCGAGUGGCGGACGGGUGAGGAAUACAUGGGAAUCUGCCCAGUCGUGGGGGAUAACGUAGGGAAACUUACGCUAAUACCGCAUGCGCCCUUCGGGGGAAAGCCGGGGACCUUCGGGCCUGGCG